UACGGGGGGGGCAAGCGUUGUUCGGAAUUACUGGGCGUAAAGGGCGCGUAGGCGGCCUGCUAAGUCGAACGUGAAAUCCCUGGGCUCAACCCCAGGAACUGCGUCCGAUACUGGCAGGCUUGAAUCCGGGAGAGGGAUGCGGAAUUCCAGGUGUAGCGGUGAAAUGCGUAGAUAUCAGGAGGAACACCGGUGGCGAAGGCGGAUCUCUGGGCCGUAACUGACGCUGAGGAGCGAAAGCAUGGGGAGCGAACAGG
rnacentral:rRNA from 1 species